GCUAUUGGAGUUCGAUUAAGCCAUGCGAGUCUAAGGGGUACUUGUACCCCUGGCAUAAUGCUCAGUAACACGUGGAUAAUCUACCCUUAGGUGGGGCAUAAACCCGGGAAACUGGGGCUAAUUCCCCAUAGAUACAGAACGCUGGAAUGCCUCUGUAUUCAAAGCUCCGGCGCCUAAGGAUGAGUCUGCGACCUAUCAGGUAGUAGUCAGGGUCACGACCUGACUAGCCAACGACGGGUACGGGGUGUGAGAGCACUUGCCCGGAGAUGGUUUCUGAGACACGAAACCAGGCCCUACGGGGCGCAGCAGGCGCGAAAACUUCGCAAUGCGGGAAACCGUGACGAGGGAACUCCAAGUGUCUAUGCAAUGCAUAGACUGUUUUUCAGCCUAAAUAGCUGUUAGAGUAAGGGGUGGGUAAGACCGGUGCCAGCCGCCGCGGUAACACCCGCACCCCGAGUGGUAGCCACUAUUAUUGGGCCUAAAGCGUUCGUAGCCGGUUUAGUAAAUUCUUGGGUAAAUCGUACAGCUUAACUGUGCGGAUUCCGGGGACACUACUAGACUUGAGACCGGGAGAGAUUAGAGGUACUUGCAGGGGAGCGGUGAAAUGUU
rnacentral:rRNA from 1 species